rnacentral:rRNA from 1 species
UACGGGGGGGGCAAGCGUUGUUCGGAAUUACUGGGCGUAAAGGGCUCGUAGGUGGCCAACUAAGUCAGACGUGAAAUCCCUCGGCUUAACCGGGGAACUGCAUCUGAUACUGGAUGGCUUGAGUUUGGGAGAGGGACGCGGAAUUCCAGGUGUAGCGGUGAAAUGCGUAGAUAUCUGGAGGAAUACCGGUGGCGAAGGCGGCAUCCUGGACCAUUACUGACGCUGAGGCGCGAAAGCUAGGGGAGCAAACGGG